rnacentral:lncRNA from 8 species
UCUUUACACACCUGUUCCCCUCUCAUAGUUCUAAUGCAUAGGAUAAUUAUUUAUAUGUGUAGCUAGCCUCUUGAAUAUGACCAGCCUGGUCACAGAACUGUUUGUGCCUAAGCCACGUCCUUUGUCAUGUGUUGCCAUGCCAUGCAUACAGUCUGUGUUUGGCAUGAUAAUGAACUGGACAAGAGGAGUUGGCUAAAGCACACACAGAUCUACUACCAGGCUAAUCCAUAACUGCAUACUUAUCCUGAAUUAUUCAAUGUUGUCAUGUUACGUUAACACCAAGUAUUUGUAUAUGAAGAUGGUGCUGUGUCUUUUAUUCCCUUUGAAUGUCUACUUGACGAUGACAUCACUGUUCUUUUCUGUCAGGACAAUAUCCUCCUUUCCUGGCUGAGUCCGCCCACGCUACUCAGGGGCAAAGAACCAGGAGCAAGAAGAAAGUCCUCAGGGAGGGUCAGCACCGACGAGAGCUGCAUGACCAAGCAGUCUGUGCAGACCUGCCCCCGCCGCCGGCCCCACCCCCUGCCGCAGACGACCCCCUGCAGCUCCUGGCUGAUGUGCUGGGCUGCAGCCGGACACCGUCGGCGGACAGCUCGCCGGCUCUGCAGAGGAGAGGAGACUACUCCUCAGCCCAUAAGAGGGGGCCUGCCAUGUGGGACUCACAGGAUGAGGGGGUAAUCCCGUACUGCCCAUCCAGCUUUUUGCCCCGGGGCCAGAUGUCAGGCUACGGUUCCCUUGGUGGAGUGGCCUCCUUGCGGGCUUCAACUGGACAGAGAGGGCCUGGAGCUGUCCGGAGGAGGGACGAGAACCUCAUGUAGCUGGAAGCAGAUUAUGUGAUGUGAUGUUCUCCGCCAUGUGUUUUUUAAAAGGUUGUUUUGCUUCUUCCAUUUUUGCUGAAAUCCAGCCUGUUGCCAUGGUGUCAAAGAAGAGCUGAAGACGAAAGUGAGAGCAUUUAGGCUUGCCACCUGCUUUUUCAAUAUUAGUUCAUAUUUGUGUUUUUUAUUUAUUCAUAAUUUGUAUGUGAUUUGAUGUCCUGCCUCUGUAUAUAAACAUCUUUGCAACUUUUUUUAAACAUAACCUGGGAUAAAGAUAAUAUAUUGUAUUUUAAGAAAAGGGAAAGAAAGUCUUAAAAUGACUAUAGAUAUUAUACAUCAGAUGUUUGAAUGUACCUUAUGUUUAUUGUUUACCAUGGUGAUGUUUGUGUAAUGAAAGGAUAUGAGGCAGAAACUGUUAACAAGACCUUCUGAUAGUUGGGCAUCUGUGAGGUUCUGUGAGUGUGUUAACAGUUUCUCUUUCUCUCUCGCGCGCUGUCAUUGUGGAGUCAACCUCCUGCUUCUUCUGAACGGGCAUAUCGAUCUUUUCAACAGCAGAUGAAGCAGCCUUGUCAUUUUAGGUUGUGAUGCUGAAAAUGUGUGAUCCUAUACCCUUGUUAAACACCAAUUGUUAUGUUCUGUCAUCAGUGGAAUGAUUUGUUAAAAAAUACCAAUAAAACAUUUGUUACUCUAAAGACAUGUUUCUCUAGACUGUUUCCUGGAAUCGAUCUAGUGUAGGUAAUCCUAUCCUAAAAACCUGCUAUAUUGAUUCACAUUUACAAUAAAAAAGUACCCUUUUCCCUGGGUUCUUUGUAUUGUGCCACUGUG